CUCCUAUUAAUGUUUUAUUUUACUCUUAAUUUGAACUCUGCCUUACUCAAGUGACUGAUGCCUUAUGGUAUUUAAGCUUGUGUGUCAUUUAUUCACCUACUAUGUUUUCCAGGUGGGAAGGGGUCCAGGAGAUGCACAGCAAGAGGAGUUGGAGAGCAGAAGGAAAAAUGAAGAGAUUGAAGAUGUGUCAUAUACCUAUACCAAAUACCCACAAUGAAUUGCAGGGAGAAGCCUGCAGCAGCCUCCAUUACGGAAGGCGUGAUUUGUAAUGGAGUCAUUAUCCUGCCGGGACUGAGGAAGAGAAAGUGAUCCUUCUUUCCUGUACUAAAGUGCCUGCUCCUCGGCUCAGUAUUAAAAUGAGAGCUCAAAUAGCUCCUUGUUCUAAUUUCCCUUAUCAGCCUCCACAGGGCCCAUUUCAGGCUGUCUGUGAAGUGUUCGGAUGCAAUUGUGUUCCUGAAUAAAAAGGAGAAACUAAAUUAGAGCCUCUUAAAACCAUUAUAUUGUCUUAUUUAGUGACACUGUUUGCCUCACCAUUACUAAGCAAUGAGCUAAGUGUUCUUCCUAAGUAAUAAUAAUAAUAUCCACAUUUAACCAGCACUUUACACUUUGCAAAGCACUUUUGCAUAUGUUAUCUCUUUUGAGCCAUGGAGGAGCUGAAGCAGAUUCAAAGGGUUAGCAUCAUCAAUUGACACCAUUACAUUAUAAGCUUUCAGACUCCGAAGCCAGGCCAUGCAAUCCAAUGACCUGGGAAAGGAGAAGAGCUAUCUACCUUUGGGGCCCAAGCAUCUGCCACAGACCCUUCCAGACCAUCAGGGAUGACCACUGUCCUCCCUAUCCCUCUGUGUGGAGGGCUCCCGACCUCAGCUUACAUGAUUAACCUUCAAGAGAACAGAAACCAAUCAGAAGAACCAACUAGAACUUCAUAUUAGCGGCAUACACGUGAAUCCUUGUUACUAAUCCACAAGUUAUGGAGGGGAGGUCCUUUUUAAAGGAUUUGAGUUUUUGAACAGCUGCUUUAGCUACAUGGAUUCCUGUGAUUGUUUUGUAAGCUGUUGAGAUAUUGUGCCACAUGACAAGAAAAGUCCACAUUUUACAGAAUAUUUCAAUGUUGUCACAAAUGAUCUCUGUGGAUGAUUCUAGUACAUUUAUAUGCUGGCCUUUAAAAAAAAAAGUUAAUCUUGGAAAUAUUCCAAACAAUUUUC
rnacentral:lncRNA from 1 species